UUUUUUAGAAAUGAAUUUAAUUCAUGCAUUUGAUUUAAUUUCUGUUGUUUUUUAUUUAUUUUUAUUUGAUGCUAAGAUUAAGGGGGAUUAGCUCCUUGUUUUAUUUUUAUAAUUAUUAUUUUAAUUUAGUUUUGUGGAUUUUAUGGUGAUUUUCAAUUUGAUUAUGUUAAAAUUUUAUUUUCUCUUUUGUUUAUUUGUUGUUAAUUUAAAUUUUUUAUUGGAAUGUUUUCUUUAUUUUGUUUUGUAUGGUAAUUAUUGUGUAAUUAGUAAAUUGUGCUUUAUUGUAUUGUUCAUUUGUUUGUUAAUUUCUUUUUAGGAAUUAGGCAAAAUUUUCAUGUCCGCCUGUUUAACAAAAACAUCUUUUCUUGUUAGUUUUUGAAGUAUGGCCUGCCCACUGACUUAGGUUGAAGGGCCGCGGUAUUUUGACCGUGCAAAGGUAGCAUAAUCAUUAGUUCUUUAAUUGUGAUCUGGUAUGAAUGGCUUGACGAGACAUGGGCUGUCUUAAUGGUAUUGUUUGUUGAAUUUGGUUUUUGAGUUAAAAUUCUUAGAUGUUUUUAUGGGACGAGAAGACCCUAUAGAGUUUGACAUUUUUCUUAUUAUUGUGAGGGUGUUUGUUAUGAUUGAUUUAAUAGGUUUAUUGUUUUGUUGGGGUGAUGGGAGGAAUUUUUUUAACUCCUCUUUUGUUUAUUAUAUUUAUGUAUAUGUUCUUGAUCC
rnacentral:rRNA from 1 species